GCCCCACAACAGGCGCCACUUCCUCGUAGUGUGGGGUGGGCAACUACCAUAUGGUAGGCUAAGAGCGCCU
rnacentral:ribozyme from 1 species